AAGACUAUACUUUCAGGGAUCAUUUCUAUAGUUUGUGACUAGAAUACAAACUUAAUAUGCAGAAAUCUGUUGCAUUUCUAUACACUAACAUUGAAAGAUCAGA
rnacentral:snoRNA from 1 species